AGUGAACGCUGGCGGUAGGCCUAACACAUGCAAGUCGAACGGCAGCACAGUAAGAGCUUGCUCUUACGGGUGGCGAGUGGCGGACGGGUGAGGAAUACAUCGGAAUCUACUUUUUCGUGGGGGAUAACGUAGGGAAACUUACGCUAAUACCGCAUACGACCUACGGGUGAAAGCAGGGGAUCUUCGGACCUUGCGCGAUUGAAUGAGCCAAUGUCGGAUUAGCUAGUUGGCGGGGUAAAGGCCCACCAAGGCGACGAUCCGUAGCUGGUCUGAGAGGAUGAUCAGCCACACUGGAACUGAGACACGGUCCAGACUCCUACGGGAGGCAGCAGUGGGGAAUAUUGGACAAUGGGCGCAAGCCUGAUCCAGCCAUACCGCGUGGGUGAAGAAGGCCUUCGGGUUGUAAAGCCCUUUUGUUGGGAAAGGAAAGCAGCAGGUUAAUACCCCGCUGUUCUGACGGUACCCAAAGAAUAAGCACCGGCUAACUUCGUG
rnacentral:rRNA from 1 species